UACGUAGGGGGCGAGCGUUGUCCGGAAUCAUUGGGCGUAAAGAGCUCGUAGGCGGUUCAGUAAGUCGGCUGUGAAAUUCCGAGGCUCAACCUCGGAACUGCAGUCGAUACUAUUGUGACUAGAGUCCGGUAGAGGAGAAUGGAAUUCCCGGUGUAGCGGUGAAAUGCGCAGAUAUCAGGAAGAACACCAACGGCGAAGGCAGCUCGCUGGGACGGUACUGACGCUGAGACGCGAAAGCGUGGGGAGCGAACAGG
rnacentral:rRNA from 1 species